UUUAUUAAGGGCCAGUUUCGUAAUUCAGCACACCCAUUGGGAAUGCGCAGACAAGAAACCCUAACCCUAAUUCUCAGUGGUUUCCACUAUAUUAUAUAUACAUGGCUCAAACGCAACUCUCUGUAUAUAGCUCUAAAGAAGAUCUACUUCCGUGCCUCUCUGUAAAUAGCUCUAUGCCUCUCUAGCUCUCAGUCUCUAUGAAAUCUUCGUUGGAAAGGAAGGAAAAUGUGAAAAGCCAGGAGGUUCUCUCUAUUUUAUCUUCUGUUUUUUCAGAAUUUCUCUCUGAAAAUUGUUCUUUUGUAUCGAUUUUAAGGUUUUUUUUGUUUUAAUUGGAUUCUUGAACUUCUUUAGUUCUUGAUUUAUAUUUCUUCUUGUGAUGUGUCUUCGUCGGAAAGGAAGGAAAAUGUGAAAAACCAGGAGUUCUCUCUAUUUAUCUUCUGUUGUUUCAGAAUUUCUCUCUGAACAUUGUUCUUUUGUAUCGAUUUUAAGGUUUUUUUUUUGUUUUAAUUGGAUUCUUGAACUUCUUAGUUCUUGAUUUAUAUUUCUUCUUGUGAUGUAUCUUCGUCGGAAAGGAAGGAAAAUGUGAAAAACCAGGAGGUUCUCUCUAUUUAUCUUCUGUUUUUUCAGAAUUUCUCUCUAAAAAUUGUUCUUUUGUAUCGAUUUUAAGGUUUUUUUGUUUUAAUUGGAUUCUUGAACUUCUUUAGUUCUUGAUUUAUAUUUCUUCUUCUGAUGUAUCUUCGUCGGAAAGGAAGGAAAAUGUGAAAAACCAGGAGUUCUCUCUAUUUAAUUUAUCUUCUGUUUUUUCAGAAUUUGUCUCUGAAAAUUGUUCUUUUGUAUCGAUUUUAAGGUUUUUUUGUUUUAAUUGGAUUCUUGAACUUCUUUAGUUCUUGAUUUAUAUUUCUUCUUCCGAUGUUCUUGAUUUA